AAAAAACAAACAAACAAACAACAAGGUGCAGUGCGCCUUGUUUUAGAGAAAAGGCCGAAUGGCCUUUUCUUUUUUUGGAAAAGGCAGUGACUCUUCUUCUUAUUUUUCUCUUAAGUAUUUUUAUAGAAAAUUCUUGAUCUACGAAGAUCCAACGGUCUGAUCUUCAAUCCGACUUCAAUAACAUAAUCUACGAAGCCCGAUCUACGUUUCUACCGAUUGGUUUGAGGAUUUGUUGUGUGGAGCUUGCUAAACACCCUCCAAGUGUUGGAUUUGCAUUUGGUGAAAUUUUUGUGACGCAUUGCAAGGUGUUGUCUAGGAAACCUACUGCUUAAUAUCCGCGCUGCCAGGUUUUGCGGAUAUAGAUAUUGACUCGUCCACCUAGCGUAUGGGAUGCUAUGAUUGGAGCACAUCACGACAGUCAUAAGUCACAGACUCAUGGGUAGUCCGCAUUUUGGGUGUUUUAUUUAUGCCUCGUGUCCUACGUGGCAUAUGUAUUUGUUAAGCCUGUAUUUUAUUAUAUCAUUAGUGUAAUGUGUUUUAUAAGCCUUAAAUAGAUAGACUUGUAAAUGACUCUUGUUGUAA